rnacentral:rRNA from 1 species
UACGAAGGGGGCUAGCGUUGUUCGGAAUUACUGGGCGUAAAGCGCACGUAGGCGGACUACUAAGUCAGGGGUGAAAUCCCGGGGCUCAACCCCGGAACUGCCUUUGAUACUGAUAGUCUCGAGUCCGGAAGAGGUGAGUGGAAUUCCGAGUGUAGAGGUGAAAUUCGUAGAUAUUCGGAAGAACACCAGUGGCGAAGGCGGCUCACUGGACUGGUUCUGACGCUGAGGUGCGAAAGCGGUGGGGAGCAAACAGGG